UCCAAAUAACAUCUACUUUUCCCCAACAACUCCUAGUGCACUUCCCCCCUUCUCCCGGCAACAGUUAAAACAGAUCAUGCCCAUAAAGUUAACAGAAGGCCUCUCAUGCUUGUUAAGGUCCCACCAAUCAUGGAUUUCCUUGUUAUUAUUCAAACCUGAAGCAACCCAAGCAACGAAUCUGUGAUGACAGUGUGACUCAGGAAUCAGGGAGUUGGCGUCCCCAGGUGCAGCCAAUUUCCUAAUUCCCUUGUGGAAAUGCGAAAUAUGAAUUCCUGGAACUGGCCCAAUGUCGCCCUCUGGCGGUUCGAGCUGGUUAUAACCCUUCCGGCUCGUUCGCUUUGCUGCCAAGUAUCUUCACAUUUCUACUACUUGAGAAACUGUAUCUUAGAUCCAUCUGCCCAUGGGUCUUCAUUUCAGGCAGAAAUGUAUGCAUUUUCUCAUACAAGUUUAUAACCCACCCAUCAGGCCUAUGAAAUGGGUUCUUCUCAGCAUGACUAUGUUGUCCAGUUUCUUUUAGUCUAUAAUGAACUGUAAAAGCAGAUGUCGCGGUUCCAUUCAGUCAGAUAAUUUAUAAAACUCUUCUGAGUUUCCUUCUAACUUUGAAACUUAAAGCAUUCAGAAAUUGUUUUUGAGAUUUAGUGGGUUUCCUCAGGCUUUCAUCUUUAUGGUAAUGCUUCAGGAUGAGACCAUGACUUUAAAAGAACAUUUUCUGUUUUUUUUUUUUGACAACUUUGCAACUAUGCAAUGUUCAUCUAUAAGGUUUUAUGUCUCCAUAGCCAUUUCUUCACUUAUUUGACUUUGGAGCCAAGAUUCUUAUAGUCUGGAAAACUUUUACUUUAAAGCAACAGUUUGUGUUGAACCUGAUUACCUUAUCUGACUUGUUAGUUGUUAAUUGAUAAGUAAUUAUUUGUAAGCAUUCCAUUCGUUACCAAUUGCUCAUUAAUUUUUAUCCAAAUAAAAUUUAGCUCAAAAGCUCAUUUUCUUUUGUAAUUAAUAAAGGAUGGCUAUUUGAUCUAUGAUCUAUGUUCCAUGCUGACAGGAGGGCCAGAGUGUGGAGGAGGAGGUGUUGCGUUUUGUUUCCGUCAGUAUAUAUCCUUUACAAACAAAUAUUGUUAUGAAAUGAAAAUUGGACCCAGUCUUUCUGCACAGAAAAAACAUCUUAUAAGACAAGAAAUGAAAAGCCAUCUAUGAAAAUUGAUUUCCAUGCUUAGUUAUCCCGUCGUUGGUAAAUAAUUUCUAAGCACUUUCUUUUUGCUGUACCAUAUA